GAAACGAAGACAAAUAUCGUCUGAACUCGACCGUACGAAGAGGACAAAGAUGAGCUGGCCCGCCUGCCACGUGUACCAGACCUGGACCAGGCAACUUCUGAGAAAUUUGGUAUGAUUAUUUCAGAGCUCCAAAACUUAAAUUAUAUCGACAAGGGCCUGUUAGGUCAUCCACCGUGACUCACGAGGGACGAAAUUUCCCGACGACUUCUCUCCCUUAUCUUUUCUUUUUCAUCAUUUUGUCCACAUUCAGAGAGUUCAGUACUUAUAUUGGUCACAACGCACCCGCACACCCCCUGCUUUGUUUAUAGUGUAUCCAUGCAUACGGCUGAACUGUACCUUGUCCUGACUUGAUGACACUUUCGUACCGCGUGCCGAUGUUUACAGCGAUACUCAUCACCAACUCGCGGAUCAACCUCAUCGUUUGCAUUAAAUAAUCGAAUUAGCGAACGGCUGGGGCCUGCAGGCAGACGUAUGACUUGUUGCAAGAAUUGACAGACAAAUCAUUUUAAGGAUUUGUUUGGCAACUUGCUAAACAGUAAAAAUUUCUCCUUUUGUUUCAAGAAAUAUAUUUGAAUCCAUUUGAUAAAUUUUUUAUUCCCGAGAAUAGAUUUAGAGUAAAAUCGAGAAGCAAAAAAAUGUUGAUUCUUUGUUCCUGAGAACAAUUCCAGAAUCAAACGAACUUAUUUUUAUAUUCUCUUCUUUCUUCUUGUUCUUAUUCCCUCUCUUCUUCUUCUUCAACCGCCGCCGCCCACAGCCACUGGUCGCCGGCGACCGGUCCGAUGAGCUCGUUGGAGGCUCGCCAAGUCAGGGCGAGGUCCAGUGAGCUCGCCUAUGGCCAAGCAGGCCUCUCUCGCCACCGGCGAGACUUGCCUGAUCAGGCAAGCUUGGCCUCGCCAACACCAGAGGCUCGCCAAGCCAGGGCGAGAUCCAGCAAGCUCACUGGUGGCCAAGCGAGCCUCCCUUGGCCACCAGCGAGGCUUUGCCUAACCGAGUGAAGCUCGCCCAAACCCAGGGAGGCUCAACCUCGCCUAGAUUUAGCAAGGCCGAGCAUGCCUAGCCAUGACUUGGUCAAGCCUCACCCAACUGCCGGCGAGACUCGAUCGACGAGACACGACCUCGACAAAGGCUGACGAUGCUCCGAUGAGGUCGCCAGCCCUCGUUUGGCCGGUCGCUGAUCAUCCCAAGGCCGACAAUUGGCAACCUUGAAGAAGAAUAAGAGAAAUAAAGGAAAAAAAAAAAAGAAAAGAAGAAAAAAGAAAAAAAGAAAAAAUAAAUAAAAUUAUUUAAAAAUUAAAAGAAAAUGAUUUGAAAUAUAAAUUUUAAGAACGGUGCCAAACGCAAUUCUAUUCCGGGAAUUGAAAUUUUUAACGGUUACCAAACGGCUUAAAAUACUUAUAAAUUGUUCCCAAAAAUAUAAGCGUUACCAAGUACUCACCAAUGGAUAUAAUGCUGAAAGGGGAAGAAACUCUUCAAUUCGAAUAUGAUUCCACCAUGUCUCUCUUGUCCGUCCCCAGAUUCCCUCUUUUGUCCAGGCCUCAAGUAUUUGGGUCCCCCAGAUUCCCUCUUUUGUCCAGGCCUGAAGUAUUUGGGAGCUAUCAGCUCAGAAAGGGCACUAGGCGCGGAUCUGUGAGGUACGGGAGACUAGUUCGAGCUCCCAAAGCUCGACAAUUUGCAGCAGCC
rnacentral:lncRNA from 1 species